rnacentral:misc_RNA from 2 species
AACGCACAUUGCGCCCCUUGGUAUCCCAGGGGGCAUGCCUGUUCGAGCGUCAUUUCUACCAUUCAAGCUUUGCUUGGUUUUGAAUAUAUUGUAGUACUUUAAGUAGUUAUACAUAUUCUAAAUAUAGACGGCAGCAAGUAUAAGUUCUAAGCGUAGCAGUAAAACAUUUCGCUUUUGCACUUAUAUUUUGUUAAACCGAAAUAAAGUAUAUUUACAGUUUGACCUCGGAUCAGGCAGGGAUACCCGCUGAACUUAA